CAUAGAUUAAAUCAUCAUGCGAUCUUCAGGAGAUAGAUAUCUGAAAUUAAAAAUACAGUACCACACUAAUCCAAUUUCUAUCAAGAAGCUCCACAUUUUUUUACCACAAAACAGUUGAGCAAAUACUUGAUACAACAUGAGAUAAAUUUAAGACCAUGGGACGGCUCCAAAAAAGAAACAUCUACUUGAUGGUGAUAUAGCGAUUUGUCCCAUGUCUAGCCCAGUAGUCCUUGAGGUCUAGAGGGACUGAUAGAUCAUGGCCUUCUGCUGCCAACCGACUAAGCAAUUUUGUGAAGACACUACCACUCAUCUUCCGUCCACCAACUCGGGCAUGGCGCUUAUUUGGCAUCUGUGGUAAUGGGUAUGAUGACAAGGUGGUAGUGCAACAUGAUGACUGCCACCCACCAUUCCCCCAUUUAUAGCACUGAUGUGGAACACCGGUGCAUGAGCAAACAGGCACUGGCAUGGUGGUCUCAUCAAAACUGACCAGGUUCAAGCCUGCAUCUUGACUAUCCCAUUCAGCCUUAAUCUUCUUCCCAUCAGAGGCGCCUUGUCUAUUCAGAUCUUCACCUACUUUAUUGCCCUUCCUUGGUGACUUAGUUGCCUUUGAUGAUGCAGGUUUACUCUCUUUUGUUCGCUUUGUCUGACGUGGUUUAAGAGAUUCCGCUGAAACAGUUGUUAUAGGGAAGGCAUCAGUGAUGUGCAUUUCUCCACUGUUAAGAGCUUCUGCCACAGCAUUUGAAUUGUACACAGGGUGAGGAAUGCGCUUUGAUCCUCGUUGAUUUCCGUUGCCCACUGGAAAGUUCACACCAUUUUCUCGGUAUUGAAUUGCUGCCAAAGCAUUGUCUCUUUCCAUCAAGGCUUUGUCCCGCUCAGCAAGGGCUUUUUCCCGCUCGUGGAGUGCCUCAUCUCGUGCAGCCAAUGCUUCCUUUUUUUCAGCCAGUGCCAUAUUCCGUUCUUGAAUAGCAGUAUCCCUCUCAGCAAGGAUGGCCAUGAUCUUCUUAUUCAUCACUAGGGCAUUAUUUUGUUCCUUUAAAUGAGGUGGUGGCAUCAAACUCCAUGGAGAAUUUGCUGAUUUGUAAUAGUCAAUCUUGUACCUCCCACUAUGAUGUUGUCCACCAUCAUCCAUCUUAUGUCAACGUUACUGUCAAUGAAGUAGGAAUCAGGUUCAAUCUGCUCCCUAACGAUGAAUGGCAGAAUUUUAGGCAGCCACUAGUUUCUGGAAAGAGAAAACAUUUUUGUAUUUUCUUUGAGCUCUCUGAGUUCUCUCAUUUCCGCACAGUGAGAAAUAGACAAAUGCUGAGAACGAGCAAUCUAAAACUUUUGAUUGAAAAGGGGACAACCGAAAAUAUCCCCUAAACGGCGCCGACUACAGUGAAAGGAGUUCCAGAUCUGAGAGAGAGGCCGAAGACAGUUGGGCCGUGAGCGAGAGAAUUGGGAGUUCGGGGCUUGGUAGGAAGAGAGAGGGAGCUGGGGGUGGGGCGGCGGUGUCCCGCGCUUGAGAGAGCGAAUGAGUGGCGGAAUGAUGCUUAGGGGAACUUUAGGUUUAGAUCCAGUAAGGAUAGUGACGGAUUGGGUACAACGAAAUUCAUUCCACCUGUAUUCGAAUUCGCGGAGGGAUUAUUAGGCCAGUG
rnacentral:misc_RNA from 1 species